GCUGACGUAGCACAAUCGGCAGUGCACCUCCAUGGUAAGGAGGAGGUUGCUGGUUCAAGUCCGGCCGUCAGCA
rnacentral:tRNA from 1 species